rnacentral:rRNA from 1 species
UACGUAGGGUGCGAGCGUUGUCCGGAAUCACUGGGCGUAAAGGGCGCGUAGGUGGCCCGUUCAAGUGGCUGGGUGAAAUCCCGGGGCUACAACCGUCCGGGGCUGGCCGUCAGACUGGCGAGCUAGAGCACGGUAGGGGCGAGAUGGAAUUCCCGGUGUAGCGGUGGAAUGCGUAGAGAUCGGGAAGAAUACCAGUGGCGAAGGCGUUCUGCUGGGCCGUUGCUGACACUGAGGCGCGACAGCGUGGGGAGCAAACAGG